ensembl:lncRNA
AGGAUGACAGGACAAGUUAUUUCCUGCCAAGUGACCUCUUAUUUGAUUCAAAAUUGAAAACAAAAACAGUAAGAGUUUUAUUACAGCAACAGAAACAUGAGGUCGGUCCAGCCUGGGGCAGUUUCUCUCCAAGAGAAGAUGGAGGAAGCACAGCUAAGUGACUGGAAAUUUGACAUGCCUUCAUGUCAAGAGAUACCUGUACCUCUUGGAAACAACAAGCCCUUUGUGGUACCUCAGUGGGAUCAUCAGUGGGGCAUGGCCCUCUCUUGGACAACGUUCUCAUGCUGCUUUGCAAAGAGAAUAUAUAACAGGAUUUGUACAGAUAUUCAUAGAUGUGGUUAGAGCCUCUUGGAUUGCUGUAGCUGCUGGAACACCAAAACUAUAGGAGAAUUUUUAUCCAAAUAAAUAUAUAAAGACUGACUGUGGUUGCACAGUGAUCUUAUUCUAAAAGCUUUCAUUGCUUCCCUCCAUCCUCCCAUUUUAUUGUGGAAAGAAUAUUGGAGUCACUGGGACAAUUUAUUGUUCUCAUACAUUCCUGGUAUGUAUAUCUUGCCUAAAUGUUGGGAUGGCAUUUCUGGUUUUAUCUCUGUGAAUGAGGGAGUGAGGGAUAAGUCAUACCUUAUGACUCCCCAUCUCUCCUGUGAGCGAUGAUAACAACA